GGAGGUCAGGUGAGGUCAUCAGGAGGGGUCAUCAAGAUCAGAUGAGGUCAGUGAGAUCAUGCUGUGUGAGCUGUCUUGACUUUAGGCCAGCGGCCACCACCCAGGGCCCCCUGGGCUCCUGGACGCAACUUCCCCAGGACCACCCUCCCAAUGGCUGCCCACACUUAGGACAGUGCUGUCCCAAAGCCAGAGACACCUUGAGGUCAGCUGGGCAAUGCCUGGACUUCCCGACCUGCAGGUCCCAGGUAAGGCCGCCCUGCGACCCUCCAGACGUCCAGAGCACCGCAUCCGUCUGUUCGUCUGUCCAUCUCACCGAAGCCCAGCCUAUAUGUUACAGAGCACACAGUGGAUUCACAGCAGUAAGUGGAGGGGACGCAGUCUCAGGACCAAGGAUGCUGCCUGUAAGGGGAGCAGUGUAAACUCAGCUUCCUGGAAACUCAGGACUUGCUGGAGACAGCCUGGCUCCAGAGCCGACCGUCCACACUGGCCCCCGCCCCACAGGCUGCGACAGCCCCUCUCCAUGCCGUCUUCCCAGUGAGAACAUGGCUGACCUCACCCUUCUCUACAAGGUGGCUGCAACCACUCAACACCCACCAGCAUAGCCUGCCUGUCUGGUGUGGACCCCUCAGCCCAUCCCCAGGGCUGGGGGUCCUGUAGUCCUCCACUCACUGCCCCCCAAACCCUCAGCUAAGAGCCCUCCAGGGCCACCUCCUCUACCCCCUUCCCAUGUUUCUCAGAGCUAUGCUGGCCCCUCCCCACAAAUCAAAGGCUGCAGGGGCUGACCC
ensembl:lncRNA